UAAGAACGUUGGACUAUAUAUGUUUUUCUAUGUGUUACUUUGAGAAGUGUGUGAAAGAAGUAAAAACUUUCUUCUAAUUUCUUUUAUUGGGCUGGAUUUUCUUUGGACUAUAUAUGUUGUUUCUUUGAGGAGUGGGUGAAAGAAGUAAAAACUUUCUUCUAAUUUCUUUUAUUGGGUUGGAUUUUCUUUUGAUUAGUCUUUGUUGUUUUUGUUCCUAGUUUAUACUAGAACAGUUUGUUGACUUUUGGAGGUUACGCUUAACUUUAUUCAUCGUUGUGUAGACGAAAUAUCCUUAAGGACAAUGUUCUUGAUGAAUAUACUCUGGUUCACUUGUUUUUC
rnacentral:lncRNA from 1 species